rnacentral:rRNA from 1 species
UUUUUCCUACGGGAGGCAGCAGUGGGGGAUAUUGCACAAUGGGGGGAACCCUGAUGCAGCGACGCCGCGUGGGUGAAGGAGUAUUUCGGUAUGUAAAGCCCUAUCGGCAGGGAAGAAGCAAGACGGUACCUGACUAAGAAGCCCCGGCUAACUACGUGCCAGCAGCCGCGGUAAUACGUAGGGGGCAAGCGUUAUCCGGAUUUACUGGGUGUAAAGGGAGCGUAGACGGCGAUGCAAGUCUGAAGUGAAAGGCGGGGGCCCAACCCCCGGACUGCUUUGG